rnacentral:rRNA from 1 species
GUGCCAGCCGCCGCGGUAAUACCGGCAGCCCGAGUGAUGGCCGAUCUUAUUGGGCCUAAAGCGUCCGUAGCUGGCUGCGCAAGUCCGUCGGGAAAUCCACCCGCCCAACGAGUGGGCGUCCGACGGAAACUGCACAGCUUGGGACCGGAAGGCUCGAAGGGUACGUUCGGGGUAGGAGUGAAUUCCCAUAAUCCCGCACGGACCACCGAUGGCGAAAGCACUUCGAGAAAACGGAUCCGCCAGUGAGGGACGAAGGCCAGGGUCUCCACCCGAAUUAGAAACCCUUGUGUCC